AACGAACGCUGGCGGCAUGCCUAACACAUGCCAGUCGAACGAGACCUUCGGGUCUAGUGGCGCACGGGUGCGUAACGCGUGGGAACCUGCCCUUAGGUUCGGAAUAACUCCCCGAAAGGGGUGCUAAUACCGGAUAAUGUCUUCGGACCAAAGAUUUGUCGCCUUUGGAUGGGCCCGCGUUGGAUUCGCUAGUUGGUAGGGUAAAAGCCUACCAAGGCGACGAUCCAUAGCUGGUCUGAGAGGAUGAUCAGCCACACUGGGACUGAGACACGGCCCAGACUCCUACGGGAGGCAGCAGUGGGGAAUAUUGGACAAUGGGCGAAAGCCUGAUCCAGCAAUGCCGCGUGAGUGAUGAAGGCCUUAGGGUUGUAAAGCUCUUUUACCCGGGAUGAUAAUGACAGUACCGGGAGAAUAAGCUCCGGCUAACUCCGUG
rnacentral:rRNA from 1 species